UACGUAGGGUGCGAGCGUUAAUCGGAAUUACUGGGCGUAAAGCGUGCGCAGGCGGUUUUGGAAGCCAGAUGUGAAAUCCCCGGGCUUAACCUGGGAAUGGCAUUUGGGACUGCAAGGCUUGAGUGCGGCAGAGGAGACUGGAAUUCCUGGUGUAGCAGUGAAGUGCGUAGAUAUCGAGAGGAACACCAGUGGCGAAGGCGAGUCCCUGGACAUCUCCUGACACUGAGGCACGAAAGCUAGGGGAGCAAACAGG
rnacentral:rRNA from 1 species